UUGAAAUCUGUUGCCACAAAUAGAGUAAAUGCAAUAGGGAGGCUUCUAAUUUACUAAGGGGACGGUCAAAAAGGGAAAAUCAAACCUGCAUUUGCUCACUAGCUUUAUUUUGGUGGUCAAAAGAUUACAAGCUCUGCUGAUGAAAAAGAGGAUCUGCAUAUAGAUCAGCGUUUCUCAACCUGAAGAUCAUUUAUUCAGAGCAAGAUGAAUUGGUACAAUAUUUUGACUGGAUUUCUACAAUUGAAUUUCUUUCAAAUGGCUAUUUCCCACUGCAUGGUGUAUCAGAUUCCCCCACAGAGCUUUCAAUUACCUUGCGUGCAGCCACAGAAGAUUUCUAACUUUUCUUUGUCCCCUGAGAUUGUGGAGAAUAGUCCUAGUUCAAACAAAGAGCAUGGUACAAGUAAAAUCAAUGCAACAGCUCUGGCAGCUGAAGAUAAAUUUCUUUGUUGCCACUGGAGUGAAAUAUAUAUUAAUUGUUUUAUAUAUACGGCAGAAAUGGAAGCCAGAACACUUACUUAUUCAGAACCUGGUGCUUUAUCAUCUCAUCAAAUAGGUGUGGUUGUGGAAGAUUUUAAAUUUUUUAUUGUUAUGAUUUACAGUGAUUAUUUGAGGUCUACAAUUGUUGCUUUCAAGAAUAAGAAAUGCACAUAA
rnacentral:lncRNA from 11 species